UUAUAAAUAUGCUGAUGUAUAGUUUCUCUAGACAACCACUGCUUGCUGCCACCACAUAUCCGACUCUUUAAUGCAAUAUUACCAAAAGAAAGAAAAAUCUACGUAGGAGACAAGUGAAGAAGCCAAAUCUGCUCUUCAAGGGACUAUCCUACAUUUGCAAAGAUUAGAUAUUGGUUAUAUAUGUAGAUCAAUUGUCACAUAGAGGCUGAAGCGAAUCUGAGAUUUGAAAGUUUCAGAUGUCUACGCUACCUUUUGCAUAAGGAGACGAUUGAAGAUACAAAAUUGGCACUUCACUGUUCACGCAUAAAUUCAAAAUUAAUACAAUCAAGUUUAUGAUGGGGGCAUUUUCUUGAUGUUAUUGGUGGUCUAAAAGCUAUGAUGACAGUUAAAACUAUUACAACAUGCUUGGAUCAUCAAACUAAUCUGGCAUGUAACAUACCAAAAUGGCAUUAACGUAAAAGUAAAAAAUUAUUGCUCCAAUCUGGCAUGUUUCCGCUCAAACCAAGAAUUUCAACGAGUCGAUGCAAGGAAUCAAUCAAAGUCGAGUCCUCUCUGUCUUCACUUUACAACGAGGGAUGACGUAUAAAAUAAUUUUAAAAACUUUAGAAAAAAUUAAAAAUUUUGUAGACAUAUUUAUGUGUUAUCCAAUUUUCUUUAUUUUUUGCCUUUUAACUAUGUAUUUAGUAUCUUUUUUAUUUGAAUAAAUUUAUGCUUUCAUUUAAGCAUGUAAGAAACUUCAAAAAUACAAAAACAAGGACGAUCAGUAGUUUUUAUGCCUUCUAAGUAUCAAA